rnacentral:rRNA from 1 species
UACGGAGGGUGCAAGCGUUGUCCGGAAUCAUUGGGCGUAAAGAGUUCGUAGGUGGCAUGUAAAGUCUGGUGUUAAAUCCCGAAGCUCAACUUCGGUUCUGCACCGGAUACUUGCAAGCUAGAAUGCGGUAGAGGUAAAGGGAAUUCCUGGUGUAGCGGUGAAAUGCGUAGAUAUCAGGAGGAACAUCGGUGGCGAAAGCGCUUUACUGGGCCGUUAUUGACGCUGAGGAACGAAAGCCGGGGUAG